AUACGUAGGGGGCAAGCGUUGUCCGGAAUCAUUGGGCGUAAAGCGCGUGUAGGCGGCCAUCCAAGUCUGGUGUGAAAGCUCGGGGCUCAACCCCGAGUCUGCACUGGAAACUGGAUGGCUUGAGUCCGGAAGAGGAGACUGGAAUUCCUGGUGUAGCGGUGAAAUGCGCAGAUAUCAGGAAGAACACCGGUGGCGAAGGCGGGUCUCUGGGACGGUACUGACGCUGAGACGCGAAAGCGUGGGGAGC
rnacentral:rRNA from 1 species